UAACUCACUACAGCACCCUCAGAACUGGACUGGAUAGGCGCUCUUGGCCACAUAUGCUUUUAUUGGAAGCUGCCUCUUUUAUUGAAUUCCUAUUAAUAGACCUGAGAGUACUGAGCACUCAGGCGUAGGAUGAUCAUAUUCAUUAGCAGGAGGUACAAAAGACAACAGUGGAAAAGACAGUGCCUAAGUAACAGCUUUGAUCUGGAUACUUGUUAAAGGCUGGGCACAGUGGCUCAUGCCUGUAAUCCCAGCACUUUGGGAAGCCAAGGUAGGAGGAACACUUGAGACCAGGAGUUUGAGACCAGCCUAGGCAACAUAGCGAGACCCUGUCUCUACAAAAAGUAAAUAAAUAAAAAUUAGCUGGGUGUGGUGGCGAGUGCUUGUAGUUCUAGUUAGGAGGCUGAGGCA
rnacentral:lncRNA from 1 species